CAUGGUUACAGUUACCGGCAGCAUUGCAAGACUGACUGACCUGUGCUGGCCUCAAAUAUCGGCGAGCGCGCACAUGUGAGUGUGUCGAAGUGGGUGGAGAGAAUUUGACGUGCAUAUGAGUGUGUGUGUGUGUGUAUGUGUGUGUGUGUGUGUGUGUGUGUGUGUGUCUGUGUGUG